rnacentral:rRNA from 1 species
GAAUUUAAGCAUAUCACUAAGCGGAGGAGAAGAAACUAACAAGGAUUCCCCUAGUAACGGCGAGUGAAGCGGGAUGAGCCCAGCACCGAAUCCUCUGCGUGUGACGUAGCAGGAAUUGUGGUGUUUAGGACAGCCUCUGGAGCUUUGCCGCGCGCCCGAGUCCUCCUGAUCGGGGCCUCUCCCAUAGCGGGUGUCAGGCCUCUACUGGCGGGCGGCGGAGUCUUCUUUGAGCGUCCUUGGAGUCGGGUUGUUUGGGAAUGCAGCCCAAAGUGGGUGGUAAACUCCAUCUAAGGCUAAAUACCGACACGAGUCCGAUAGCGGACAAGUACCGUGAGGGAAAGUU